CUGCCGUGAGGUUCAUCCAGUCAAUCGCGCACACACACACUAGCUGAAUAUGCAGAGCUAGCGCGCAAAUAUUAACUAUUAAGCUAGCUAGUACCUAUUCCAUUUAUGUGGCGUCGUCAAAGAUGGAAUCAGCAUGCAGAUGAUGUAACCAGCCAGCCAAGUAGAAAAAUGGCAGAAAAAUAAAAGACGGACAUCAGAGUAUUUUUCAAUACACCAAAACGCAUAGCAGAGCAGGCAACAGAUGGCACACAGACAGCAGAGUUGGGGACAGAUAUGCAGCGACAGACUGGCAGAGACAGGGAGUCUCAGGUAAGUUUGUUGAGUCUUUGUUUGGCAACAUUAUGAAAGGUUCUCAAUUUUUUGGACUUGUAAAAUAGGAACAUAAUUGUAAAAUGCCAUGGAUACCCCCACUCUCAACUUAAACUGGUGACUGAACUAAGAUUUGUUAAAGGCAAUGGUAUUGCUGUUGUGAUUAGUUGUGUAGUUUUGGGUACCGGUAGUUAGGAGUACGGCAAACACCUUAUUUCUUUGGUUCCUCAAUAUACAUUUACCAUAUUACAAUGUAGGCUAUGUGUUACAGCACUACUUUUGGUGUCCCCCUCAGGAAUUGCUCUUGAGAAAAUUUAAUGUAAUUGUCCCCUCCAAAGUGGAUAUCAGAUUUUCACCCCUGGCCAAACCCAAUGUAUAUAGUUGGUCACGAAUGUUUGAUCUUGAACAGAACUUACAACAUCAAUCAACAUGUCUCAAUCAAAAUUGUACAGAAAAGAGUGGGAGUCUGUACCUGAACAAAUGUCAAAUCAUAUUUUUUGCCGAGAUGGCCAGUCAAUUUGAGUAACGUUAUUGUGUAUCCUACGUAAUGACGCAGAUUUACGUUAUCACGCAAUGACAUCACAACGCCACUUAGCAACUUUCAGCAACAAAUCAACCUGCCUCUAGCAAUUUACCCUGAAAAUUUGUUGGCAACACUGAUGUCGCCUUGCGGUUCGUGGGAAAUGAACAAUCAGAUGAGAGAGUGUGAUUACGCGUAUGACAGCAGACGAGAGACAUGCAUUUCUUUUAUCUACUGAUCCAUCAAUGAUUUGGUUAUGUAUUAGCUAUAAUAAAACCAGCCAUUCUAAUCAGAUGUCUUAUUCAAACCCAGCUUGUAAGCUUAUCAUGAUGUUUGCCCUUACUCAUAGUUUUUUGUCUUAACCCAAAAUAGCUGCAUUGUUUUUAAAAUGGCAUGUCAUUGGCUUACUGGUGUUCUUCCAUGCCGUCCCUGGGAGGGGUGCGUCACUUGAGUGGGUUGAGUCACUGACGUGGUCUUCCUGUCUGGGUUGGCGCCCCCCCUUGGGCUGUGCUGUGGCGGAGAUCUUUGUGGGCUAUACUCGGCCUUGUCCCGGGAUGGUAUGUUGGUGGUUGGAGAUAUCCCUCCAGUGGUGUGGAGGCUGUGCUUUGGCAAAGUGGGUGGGGUUAUAUCCUACCUGUUUGGCCCUGUCCGGGGUUUCAUCAGAUGGGGCCACAGUGUCUCCUGACCCCUCCUGUCUCAGCCUCCAAUAUUUAUGCUGCAGUAGUUUAUGUGUCGGGGGGCUAGGGUCAGUCUGUCACAUCUGGAGUAUUUCUCUUGUCUUUUCCGGUGUCCUGUGUGAAUUUAAAUAUGCUCUCUCUAAUUCUCUCUUUCUCUUUCUUUCUUUCUCUCUCUCGGAGGACCUGAGCCCUAGGACCAUGCCUCAGGACUACCUGGCUUGAUGACUCCUUGCUGUCCCCAGUUCACCUGGCCGUGCUGCUGCUCCAGUUCCAACUGUUCUGCCUGCAGCUAUGGAACCCUGACCUGUUCACCGGAUGUGCUACCUGUCCCAGACCUGUUGUCCCAGACCUGCUGGAACCCUGACCUAUUCACCGGACGUGCUACC
rnacentral:lncRNA from 1 species